CUGCGGCAUCACAGGAUGAGGCUGCGUCCGAUUAGGUAGACGGUGGGGUAACGGCCCACCGUGCCAGUAAUCGGUACGGGUGAUGAGAGUCAGAGCCCGGAGACGGUAUCUGAGACAAGAUACCGGGCCCUACGGGGCGCAGCAGGCGCGAAACCUUUACACUGCACGACAGUGCGAUAGGGGGAUUCCGAGUGCGAGGGCAUACAGUCCUCGCUUUUCUGGACCGUAAGGAGGUCCAAGAAUAAGGGCUGGGCAAGACCGGUGCCAGCCGCCGCGGUAAUACCGGCAGCCCGAGUGAUGGCCGAUAUUAUUGGGCCUAAAGCGUCCGUAGCU
rnacentral:rRNA from 1 species